rnacentral:rRNA from 1 species
GACUCUCGGCAACGGAUAUCUCGGCUCACGCAUCGAUGAAGAACGUAGCAAAAUGCGAUACUUGGUGUGAAUUGCAGAAUCCCGUGAACCAUCGAGUUUUUGAACGCAAGUUGCGCCCGAAGCCUUUCGGUCGAGGGCACGUCUGCCUGGGUGUCACAC